CUCAAUUCUCUGGUCUGCUAAAAGCUAGCCAGCCAUUGCAGAGGAUUUCAAAGCUUGAAGGUCGAACGAAAUGUCGGAGGACAAGCGGAACAUUCUUGAUCAUUGUCGCCGACAGCUUGCUGCGAAGUUUGAGUUGAAGCGGAAGCUUUACAAAGCCAUUUGCAACGAUACAAGUCUUCCCAACGAUGUGCGUGAGGAGCAUCGUUAUAAGCUAUCGAAAUUGCCAAGAAAUAGUUCGUUCACUCGACUGAGGAAUCGCUGCAUUUUCACCGGUCGACCUAGGGCUGUCUACCAGCUUUUCCGUGUUUCUCGUAUCGUUUUCCGUGAUCUGGCGUCCAAAGGUCUUAUAAUGGGUGUCAAGAAAUCUUCUUGGUAGAUAUUGAUAGAUGG
rnacentral:misc_RNA from 1 species